rnacentral:lncRNA from 1 species
GCUAUAUAAAACAACUCAGAGGCCCUGAGAAUGAUCCCUCCAAAAUUCAGGCGAGAUUGUUAAGUACAACAUGUGUAAUUAAACUUUUCACAGGGAGGAAGUAGUUGGAGUACUGCUUGGCAGCUUGGGUGCUUUUGGCUAGCAGAGUUGAAGUGGCUGUUCUAAGCACAGCUCUGCCUGAAUGAGAGGGCCAGUGGCCAAUAUUCCUGCUCUGCCUUUAGCCAGACAUUCACACCUGGCUUACUAGUCAGACUUGGAGAAACCUUGACUUAUAACAACAUUGUCUCUUCCUAGCCAAGAUUCAUUAAGUCUGAGGACACGGAGGAUAGCAGUUCAGAUUCCUGCAGGAGUAACCAGCAUAAUCAUUGAGUGCACUAUAUACAACAUGAAAGCAGGAUAUUAACAUGUUAGGUAAAAAACACGGGCCUCUGAGGCAUCAACAAUCAGGUUAGGAGGAGGUGUGCUAUAUGGCUCUUUUAACCCAAGAAGAGGCAGCUUAUGGUGAUGAAGAAAGGUGGCCAAGAAGAAAUGGAUGAUAUGAUGAUGGUGGAGGCCCGGGGGUCACAGGUGACGAACCUGCUACCCAACAGUUGCUUUUAAAUCCUUGAGUUGAUGUCUCUUUUAACAUUCACUGCAACUACCUAGGAACUAUAAAGAAUUUCUGAAAUUUAGGAAGUAGAAUAAGGAGAUCCAGUUGUGCUUUUCCAUCUUUAAAUGUUCUAGGAAAAAAAAAAAAAUUGGCAAAAUGGUUGAGGAAUUGAAUGUCAGAUUGGGUGCUGGUCUCUGACCCCCCUCUUCUUCCCCAUAAGGAUAAUAGAAGCUGCACACCUGCUCAGCCUCUCUUGGGCAUCUCCUUUUCUCAUUAGUACCAUAAGGAAAGGCAUUUCCUUAAAUGAAAAAGUCACAUGCUGCUGGUAGAGAAACUGGGAAGAAACAAAGGAAGCAAUAAACUCUUCGGUAGUAUUGGAAACCUCCAGCAAGAUGAAGAAGUCAUUCGUCUGGUCCUUCCAGACUGGAUGUGGAAGACCAUGACCGGAUGUAGCAAAAGAGAUAAGUAUGCGUAUUUUGGGUAAAGAUUUGCUUGUUGGACUGCUAUCUCUAGAGGAUACCACCUGUAUGGUAGGAUUAUCAUUUCACUUCCAUUCUUGCUUUAUUGAAUAUUGUAUUUUCUCAUUUCAACUUUCUUGUCUGGUGUCAUUGAUGCAGGUCACCACAGAUAGCAGCAUAGCAGAUAGCACCCAGCCAGCCUACAAAGGUGAAUUAGCAAUGCAGACCUACAGGCUCUUCCUCAGUAACCAGACUGUGAUGUUACCUUGGGAACCUCUUCAUUCCCUGACAUUCUAGAUUGGUCUCUUUGGUAGUACUGCCCCCCUCCCCAAACAAAGAUGAAACCAGUUUGGGGCUUUCUGAGUCAAGGGGAAGGAAGAAGUCCAAAACAACAACAACAAAAAUACAGCUUCCCUCCCCCUAAAAUGUCUGAUGCAAGUAUCAACUACCCAAUUUUAUAAAUUAGUUUAAAUUCUCUAAAAAUUGCUAACAAGAACUCUUCAUUAAAUUUGAGCUUCAUUUUUCUUUGAUUCUGACUGUCCUAAUCAGAAAAAAAAAAAAUGACCAAAAGGUGGAAGGGAAAGAAAAAGCAUCAGCAGACUUGGCAAUCCACACAUUAAUUCCUGUAUCCCAGAAAAAGGAAAUAUUGUGAAACCCAGUGUUGUAGAAGCCUUGUACACUAAGAAUUUGAACAGCUGUAAAGGCUGAUGCAUGUAGACAAAGUAAGGACUGUCUACUGCCCACUUGAGACUUCAGCCUAAACCAGAUGUUUUUUAGAGUGUGGAUUCAAGAGAGUCAAGAGAGUCAAGUGUUUCUCUGAACCGUUUAUUUUUGGAAAAGGCCCAUACAAAGAGAAGUGGUGUGAUAUAGUAGAAGUGCUACACCAUGAAAGUGUCCUUUCUCUCUUUCUCUCAUAAGAGCAGUUUAUAAAUGUAUGGAACAUCCAAAAAACCAUAAAUACCACAUUUCAUGUUACGCUUUUACCCUAAGAACACAACUGAAGAGAGUGGAUUGAAUAUAGAAAUGAACUUUCAUUCACGUCAACUACUUUGUUAUCCUAAAGAAACCUGCGCAAGAGAAACAAGUCCAUGUGGCCAGACUUACAAAUGGCUAGUUUUUAACCUUUCCAAAAUGCAAAUAACCUGUUGGACCUAUUUCCAUUUUCCAGAUAUGGAGAGAGUCAGUCUGGCUGCUUGGAGCCUUGUCUCUUAUUGGUGCAGAAGUCACUUAAAGGUACCUUUAAAAACAGGCCUCAGUGGGUCUGGCUUAUUUAGAAUCACAUAACUGUGUUUAUAACUCCAUUAAUGAUUGAAUCCAGGCAUCAACUGGGCUCAGUUACACAACCGUAUGUGCCUGAGAGGUUCAUGUUGUGUCAUUUCUGUAGACCCAUAAGUUACUGACACCUAGCUAGAGGCACUGAAUUUUAGUUUCAUGGUUCUUCUUUUCCCCUCCCAAGGGGUGGGCAAUCUACCAAACCCUCCCAGAUUAGUGCUUUGCUGAGAAGUAGUGAAUUCAAGAGAGUAUACGCGUAUCAAACUGAAAGCCAGUUCAGUAGCCUUCUUUGUUCCAAGACCCUUCAUCAACACAGUGAUAUAAACUUAGCCUUUGAGAAAUUUGUGGAGGUGACAACUUACUUGGAAAUGUGAAGAGAUGAGAAUGGCAGCAAGCUAACUCUGUCCCAUGGGGGCAUGCAGGUUCUGCCAACAAAAAGAUCAGGGAAGGAAAUCAAGCCUCAUUCAGCAGUUCAUCCUGUCAUCAGUGGAAUUUACUGGAUUCAUUUCCUCUCUAUCCCCAGCCCCUCCCCCAACCUCCCUGGUGAUAAACAUAACAGAGGACCUUUUUCUUCUCGUCUUCCCUUCUCUGGUAUGACAGUUCAUUUUAGUCAGAGCUUAAGCAAACUCUUGCAUAUUAUGUCUAUGAGAUACUUGUUUGUGUGUAUCUUCUUCACACUAUGAUCUUGAGAAGACUGAUUUGAUCUCAGCUUUUUAUAUGAGAGUGGAGUAGCCAUUAAUUUCUUCUACAUCGCAUAUGCUCAUAGAAUUUUCUAUUUUUUAAUCUUCUCUUAAAUUAAGAAUCUCUAUCUCCUUUUCUGAAAACUGAUUCAUAGGCUUCUCUGGGCUAUAUAUUUUUUUAAUGCUUUGUGUGCCAUUUAAUAGCACUGGGAUGGCAAUAUGCACAUGAGCCCACAAUUCCCCACAGCAGUUUGGGACUCUUUUCCAUGGGAUAAACAACCUUCUGCCACCCUUAGGCUGUCUUGUAGGUUGAGCAUUUCCCUCAAUUCUACCUUUGGAGACAUCAAGGGGUUCUCUUGUCUUUCACACAGUGAGAAUGUCUUCAAAGAGAAUGACUACUUCUCCCCCAUGUAGAGUGUGAGCUGCCAGUGUGUUGCCCUAUACUUAACAUGUCAAGUCAGAAAUAAAAUGGUUUCAGGCAUGUGUUCCCAGUGGUUUGUCAUCAUCUUUGGCCAAGUCGUGCAUACUUUCCUUCCUUAUUCUCUUCUAGGGCUUGCUUCCAUCCUUGUCUCAUGAAACAAAUAUAUUUUUGUUUAUUCAUCUUGGUCAGCUUUCCAAAAUGAGUGGCUAGUCCCAUAGACCCCUGGGUAUAAGGGAUAUUACUCCAAACCUCCCCAUGACAUGGAUGAUAGGUGAGAUCAGGAAUGCUCAGCUCUUUGGGAACUCUCUGGAUGGAUUUUGAAUUCCAGGUUUCUGUGAGAUGUGUAAAAACAGGUAUAUAGCAUACAAAGAUUGUGCUACUCUCCCCAGUAAGAGAUUAUGGGCUUCAAAAACUUUACAUUUUAGAUAGGUUUGAGUGAACUAUGAAUAGCUCUUUUUUUCCCCCUUCUUGGCAACUUGUCCCUGGCUAGAAUCUUAUUUCUUCACAUCUGAGCACCAAGGCAUAAAGAAAGUGGUGUCAACCCACUGUGGCUGCACACUUCAUAAUCUUCUAAAGAUGACCAUUUCCCUUGGAAACAAAUCCAUGGGGGAGGGGAAGUCUAGUGACCAUUCUUGGGUAAAACGCAUAGGAUGAGGGGGGGUCCACCAAGGGAUAGGUCUCUUCCAAAUAGUAAUUUUACAUUUUUUCACUUUCAUAAGACACAAAUAAUAUGACCCUACUGUUAGAAGGAUAUAUACAUCUUUGAAGAAUAUAAGCAAAAAAAGGACUUCCCUUUAUAGAAACAAUCGAUAUUGCCAAAAAGGCAGAAGCUUUUAAAAUUAGAAAUUGGAUAAUUUUUAAGAUUCUUUAGAGAAAACACAUAAUUGAUUCAUCGUAGUCUUUUCCUUUCUUUGAGUUUUAAUUUAGACCAUCAUGGGAAGAGGAGCAGCCCUGGACUUUGAUUUAGGGGAUUGUGCUUUGGCCUGGAAAAUCAUUACUGGCCUGAAUGCCCAGAACCUAAGUGAAAUCAGUCAGCAUCCUAAUAGGAAUCAGGCCUAACAGAAAUGUAAAUUAUUUCAGGUCCUUUAGGGUUUAAUUUUCUUAGCAACACCCUGGGUCCUUGCUUCCUAAAAUUAAUUCGACCCGUGCAGUUAGGUGUCUUCAUUUGGCCUUGUGAGAUUGCAAGUAAUGGCGUGAUGGAGAAAAAACAGGAGAUGGGGGAGAAGGAAAAUUUGAACACGGCCAGGGUGCAAGAUUUUGCUAAUGGAGUGCAUUUUUAGGGAGUUGGUGACCAUUCCUGUGGUUGCAUCAUGGGCAGCCUUUCAGCAGAAGCUGAAGGCACAUGUGUUAGAGCAAGGAGGAUGCCCAGUAUCUCGUACUGGUCUGUAGCUGACACUAUGCUGGAAAAGCAGGUGCUGCAGUCAACCUGGCCUGUGUUUGCUGCAAUGACUCCAUUAAACUGCAGAUUCAUUUCCAUGGGGUCAGUUAUCCCUGGAACUUCCUGUUAAAAGUCUCAUUGGCAUAUAACUUCAUUUCACUUGUCUCCUUUCAGUGCUUCUGCAUCAACCUCCCCUUCUUUUAUACCCCACAGCUAUUUUUCCUCACUUCGGCUUUAGCUUCUCCCGGACCCAUCUUUCCCUACCCCUUCCCAUCCCUAGACACCUGAAUGUCCCCUGAGUUCUCUUGCUCUCACUACACACACACACGCACGCAUGCUGUGCCCCACUCCCCAGCCCUUUGGACAGGAGCUCUGCUGUCACCAAGGGAGACACAGCAUUGCGACUGUUCCUGUUAAUGUCAGCAGCACCUCAUCACUUAGGCAAAGAGGAAAAUCCAUAAAAGAGAUGGAAAAUUACAUUUCUCUCUUUUUUUUUAAAUUUUGUGCUACUUUAAGAAGGUUGAGGAGAGGGGGUGGCUCCAGUCCUUCUCAAUUUCUCAGAGAUUUUUUUACUUUAAAACUGUCCAAUUAUGGACCAUUCUUUUGGUAAAUUGUUAAUCAGUCCAGGUCUGGUAAAUUUUUAAUCAGUCCAGGUCAUCCACUAAGAUGCAUCAGACCCAAGUUUUGAAUCUCAAGUAACUUUUCUGUGCUCCUGGACAAAGUGACUUAACUCUGUGCAAACACUUUGAAUCAUUGGCUUUUUAUUGCCCCUCAAUUCUUAAGACUAGUCAUUGUUCAAACAUCUUCACAAAUCUGGAUCAGGAUGUUGACAAUCUAUGGUUAUUUUCAGAUCAAGAGUAACUAUUACACUCUUGAAAGCACUUAAAAAGAAAAUAGAAGCAUGUCCAUUUGACUUUGAAAAAAGUUUGCUUUUCUGAAUAUUAUACCAAUCUGUAGAUGUAAUUUUAAAGGAUUUAAGCAACAAUGAAGACAGUUUGAGAAAUGAGAAGGCACUUUAAAGACAUGAAACCUUACAUUAUAUGCUCUUGGAUAUUUUUUAAUGUAAUAAGCUAAUUGGAUUCAGGUAUUUUUUUUCCCUUUAAAUUUUUAAAAAUAUUUCUAAUUUGUUUGCAUAUUUAAUUUUGUCAAAGCUGAGAAUUGCUUGUUAGUCGAAUAUGUAAAUGUCAUUCGCAAACCAAAUGAAGUAUUUAUUUUUAAAAAGAAAGGGUGAAGGAACCAAUAUUGAUUUGUACAUAAUGAAAAUAUGUGUGUGUGUGUAUAUAUUUUCUUCCUUGACACUACUUUGUCCCCACAUCAAGUGUAUUUUUGUAUAUAAUAUAUAUUGGUUAGAAAGUGUAGAUUGUCUAUUCAAAGAAUUCUAUCUCUAUGAUAGAUUGUAUUUAUCCUAAUCUGUUGAUACUUCUGUUAACUUAAGAGAUAGAACUCUAUUUUUUUGGAAUUUGCAGAGAACUGCAUUCAUAGCUUCCAGUUGUAAAUAUGCUAAGGGUAUUUUAAUAAAUCUUGGUUUCAUG